rnacentral:rRNA from 1 species
UACGUAGGGUGCGAGCGUUAAUCGGAAUUACUGGGCGUAAAGCGUGCGCAGGCGGCGCGUUAAGACAGGUGUGAAAGCCCCGAGCUUAACUUGGGAAUUGCGCUUGUGACUGGCGUGCUGGAGUGUGGCAGAGGGAGGUGGAAUUCCACGUGUAGCAGUGAAAUGCGUAGAGAUCGGGAAGAACAUCGGUGGCGAAAGCGCUCUACUGGACCGCAACUGACACUCAGGGACGAAAGCUAGGGGAGCGAAUGGG